GAUGAACGCUAGCGGCAGGCUUAAUACAUGCAAGUCGUGGGGCAAGCGUUGGUAGCAAUACCGGCGCCUAGACCGGCAAACGGGUGAGGAACACGUACACAACCUCCCUUCGAGUGGAGAAUAACCCGGGGAAACCUGGACUAAUACUCCGUAACAUGUUGAAAAGGCAUCUUUUUAAUAUUAUAGCAGCAAUGCGCUUGAAGACGGGUGUGCGUAUGAUUAGGUAGUUGGCGGGGUAACGGCCCACCAAGCCUACGAUCAUUAACUGGUGUGAGAGCACGAUCAGUCACACGGGCACUGAGACACGGGCCCGACUCCUACGAGAGGCAGCAGUAAGGGAUAUUGGUCAAUGGACGAAAGUCUGAACCAGCCAUGCCGCGUGGAGGAUGAAGGUCCUCUGGAUUGUAAACUUCUUUUAUAUGGGGCGAAAAAAGGCUUUCUAAGUCGUCUGACGGUACCAUAUGAAUAAGCACCGGCUAACUCCGUGCCAGCAGCCGCGGU
rnacentral:rRNA from 1 species